UGGCGGCGUGACCUAACACAUGCAAGUCGAACGGUAACUUUUUUAAAAGAUUUCUUCGGAAUGAAUUUGAUUAAGUUUAGUGGCGGACGGGUGAGUAACGCGUGAGUAACCUGCCUCUAAGAGGGGAAUAACAUUCUGAAAAGAAUGCUAAUACCGCAUAACAUAUAUUUAUCGCAUGGUAGAUAUAUCAAAGAUUUAUCGCUUAGAGAUGGACUCGCGUCCGAUUAGUUAGUUGGUGAGGUAACGGCUCACCAAGACCGCGAUCGGUAGCCGGACUGAGAGGUUGAACGGCCACAUUGGGACUGAGACACGGCCCAGACUCCUACGGGAGGCAGCAGUGGGGGAUAUUGCGCAAUGGGGGAAACCCUGACGCAGCAACGCCGCGUGAAGGAUGAAGGUCUUCGGAUUGUAAACUUCUUUUAUUAAGGACGAAGAAAGUGACGGUACUUAAUGAAUAAGCUCCGGCUAACUACGUG
rnacentral:rRNA from 1 species